AUGAUGGUGAUCUAAACCCUCACCAGAGUAGCAAUUGGAGGGCAAGUCUGGUGCCAGCAGCCGCGGUAAUUCCAGCUCCAAUAGCGUAUAUUAAACUUGUUGCAGUUAAAAAGCUCGUAGUUGUAUUUCUGCGUUUCCGUUUUUGACUUUUUGUCUUUUUCGGUUUCGCUUUUGGGUUUUUCGCCCUUUUUACUUUGAGAAAAUUAGAGUGUUUCAAGCAGACUUUUGUCUUGAAUACUUCAGCAUGGAAUAAUAAAGUAGGACUUUGGUUCUAUUUUGUUGGUUUUUGAACCUUAGUAAUGGUUAAUAGGAACGGUUGGGGGCAUU
rnacentral:rRNA from 1 species